rnacentral:rRNA from 1 species
UACGUAGGUGGCAAGCGUUGUUCGGAUUCACUGGGCGUAAAGGGUGCGUAGGCGGUCGGGUAAGUCUGACGUGAAAUCUCCAAGCUCAACUUGGAAAUGGCGUCGGAUACUAUUCGGCUCGAGGAAUGGAGGGGAGACUGGAAUUCUCGGUGUAGCAGUGAAAUGCGUAGAUAUCGAGAGGAACACCAGUGGCGAAGGCGAGUCUCUGGACAUUUCCUGACGCUGAGGCACGAAAGCCAGGGGAGCAAACGGG